rnacentral:lncRNA from 1 species
GUGUUCUGCUUCACCGUUUAGCAUAAAGGCUGCUAGGGAAACCUUCUAUUCCUUAGUUAGGUCUAAGACGGAGAAAAGUUUCUCUAUUUGAAGGAUCCAGGCUUUAGGUACUAAGGGGUCAGAGCCACUUUCAAAAUGUGGUAGGUUAAGCUUCCUAAACUCCGCUAUGUUAUGAAAAUGGACCUCUCAGCUGUUCGGUAGUCUGGGGUAGGGGCUUGACAAGGGUUUGCCUAAUUUUAUCCAACAGCUGCAGCUAAUCCUUGGAUAGCUCAGAAACGUUUGGCAAAUUAAGCCCUUGUUUGAUGAUCCUGGGCUUCGGGUCUUCCUCACAUCAUUCCUAAAAAGAAAGGAGGACACGAGUUGGUGGUCUAAUUUAGAAAAAAACACUUACUCUUCCUAAAUAUCCUACGGGUCGUUCUAUCUACAGUCCUAGUUGUAAAGGAUUUGGUUUGCGUAACUGCUUUGAUACCAUCUGUGACAUCUCAAAUUCUAAUUAAGGCAUGUGGGUGUCAGAUAUAGAAAUAGAUUAUGAGUGU